rfam:Canis lupus familiaris chromosome 11, whole genome shotgun sequence.
AGGAGGAACAACCCCAGUGGCGGGGCCAGCUCCGGAGCCCUGGAGUCAGCUCCUGCAGUAACAAAGGAGCUCUGAGUCUUCAGGGCCUGGAUGCUUUUUGUUUCU